GGGGGAGGGGAUUGUCUAGUAUGCGCACCAAAUCCAUGGCAGUAUAGUCAGUUUGAUGAUUGUGGCCAUAAUCUCGGUCUCACUGAAUUAAGUGACAAGAAAAAAUUUAGCAACAAGAAGGGACCAACUCUAAUAAAGGCCCAUCUAGCCCGAGAAUCUCGGAUUGCUCUGACAUACAACGGCUGUUACACUGGGUUCAGUAUCAGGUCUGUUAGCGUCCAAUACACGUUCGCACCCUACACGUUCACA
rnacentral:lncRNA from 1 species